rnacentral:rRNA from 1 species
AUGCCGCGUGAGUGAAGAAGGCCUUCGGGUUGUAAAGCUCUUUUGUCAGGGAAGAAACGGUGGUUUCUAAUACAGAUCACUAAUGACGGUACCUGAAGAAUAAGCACCGGCUAACUACGUGCCAGCAGCCGCGGUAAUACGUAGGGUGCAAGCGUUAAUCGGAAUUACUGGGCGUAAAGCGUGCGCAGGCGGUUUUGUAAGUCUGUCGUGAAAUCCCCGGGCUCAACCUGGGAAUUGCGAUGGAGACUGCAAGGCUAGAGUUUGGCAGAGGGGGGUAGAAUUCCACGUGUAGCAGUGAAAUGCGUAGAUAUGUGGAGGAACACCGAUGGCGAAGGCAGCCCCCUGGGUCAAGACUGACGCUCAUGCACGAAAGCGUGGGGAGCAAACAGGAUUAGAUACCCUGGUAGUCCACGCCCUAAACGAUGUCUACUAGUUGUCGGGUUUUAAUUAACUUGGUAACGCAGCUAACGCGUGAAGUAGACCGCCUGG